AUACCUUUCUCGGCCUUUUGGCUAAAAUCAAGUGUAGUAUCUGUUCUUAUCAGUUUAAUAUCUGAUAUAUGGACUACAUGUACACAACGAUAUUAAAUUUAUUUUUUGUGGGGGAGAAUCCAUCUUAGUGGCUUGCCACUAGGGUCCUCGCGUGUUCGUCGGGCGUUGCACUAUAGCCCGGGUGUGGCGCGCCCCAC
rfam:Triticum urartu cultivar G1812 contig1452349, whole genome shotgun sequence.